ensembl:lncRNA
CUAGACUGGGUGGGGGAGGGGGGAAGAAAUUUCCAGGUUAGGGUUACGCCGUUUCAUGUUGUUGUCAGAGUAUAAUGUUGGAAAAGAAAUGUUGCCUUGAAAUGAUCCUUCUAUGUUUUAUUUCUUCUCAGUCAGGCAUACCUAAAUGUUUUUAUGGAAAAUAAUUACCAUAUCAUUCAAAAGUAAGUGAUUAUUUAUGUAUUUGUUUCAUAUUUGAGGAAACCAAGUCUUUUUCUCCCUCUUCCCAUCUUCUAGAGAUCAAAUAUUUCUUUACCAUGCCAUCUCACCCCAUCUCUCUGCCUCACAUUAGAUCAGCAACCACCCACAUUAGCAAAGACCAUCUCCAUCUUUCCAAGGGAGAGCUUGAGUGGGGUCCUUCAGCCAUUCUGUCCAGGAGAGAAAAGAACCUAUUUCUUUUAUCAGCACUGUUCUCCUCUAUUCUCCUUCUGUCUUCUCAGCUUACUUCCCUGAAAUCAGCCAGGGAACCAGUGGCCAUGAUCUUGAGGAAGCUGGACAACUGAGUUCCCCUCCCCUCCUGGGGAGCAAUAUGAACAUUUCACUAGACUGGUCCUAAACAGAGGAUUGCUCAUGAAUAGGGAAUUAACCCUCCUGGGAGCAGGAUAUUAUGUGCCUCAGUAGUCAGGACAGCAAACAAUAUCUCUGUGUGCUUGUGUUUUCCAGCUGUGCUAAAAAUAGACCCCAAACUGUGAACCACUGCAGGGCUUUCUCCCAUGAAAGUCAUUUUGACUCAUUAACACCAUGUCAGCUCACAUCGGACUGAGGCCACAGGGGCUCUAAACUCUAGCAGAGGACACCCUACUCCUCCUCUGGACUGGACGGAUGUGGCUCCCCUUCAAUAGAUGGCUUCCUCAGCUUCAACUGAGAAAUCUGGAGAGACACAAAAGGAGACACUGCCUCCAUGGUGUGAAAAGGGCGGAAGAAAAGGGGUGGGGGGGCGGCCGGGAGGGGAACCUGGAUUCAUUUCAAGCAUUGUUGAUUCAAAGCAAGACUUCGAAGUGGGACUGGGAGGGCAGUUAUGGGCAAUUGCUCCUCCUCCUCGGUGAAGGCCAGGCUAGAGGAAGAAGCCGGACUCACUCUGCCCUUCCCUUCGUAGCUUCAGUGGUCCGGGCCAGUGCUGAGUGUGAGCUCUGCCUCCCACUGGGAGACAGCAGGGCCACGGGAGAGGAAGCUACACCAGGGAAUCCAAGGUGAGGAGGAUCGGGCCAGUCACUUUCUCCUGUCCAGCUCGGAGUGCUGCCGUACAAAGGAGGUGCCAAAUUGUCUCUUUAUGCUCCAGUCGAUCCCAACUUUGAGCUGUUUGCCUGCUUUGAAUGAGAUAAUUUGUCAGACACCAGCUGCUGAUCAUUCUUUCCUCAUGGGCACAUUUAUUAUUAUGUUACAAUGCGCAUGAAGAAUCCUGAACAUCACUGAAGUGAAAAAUGAUUAAAAUUGUAUUUUCACAGAAAUUCUGGAGCCUUCAUUCUACCAGAGAGUGUCUGUCAGGCCACGUGUUGGGAAAAGUAAUAAUCAUAAUUAGCAAAACAACACACACACACACACACACACACACAGACACACACACACUCACAAAUGCCACCCCCAACCCCCACCCCACCCCCCAGCAAUGUGUCAGUG